GACGAACGCUGGCGGCGUGCUUAACACAUGCCAGUCGAACGGAAAGGCCUUUUCGGAGGUACUCGAGUGGCGAACGGGUGAGUAACACGUGGGUGAUCUGCCCUGCACUCUGGGAUAAGCCUGGGAAACUGGGUCCAAUACCGGAUAGGACCGCACUUUAGUGUGUGUGGUGGAAAGUUUUUUCGGUGUAGGAUGAGCCCGCGGCCUAUCAGCUUGUUGGUGGGGUAAUGGCCUACCAAGGCGGCGACGGGUAGCCGGACUGAGAGGUUGGUCGGCCACAUUGGGACUGAGAUACGGCCCAGACUCCUACGGGAGGCAGCAGUGGGGAAUAUUGCACAAUGGGCGCAAGCCUGAUGCAGCGACGCCGCGUGGGGGAUGACGGCCUUCGGGUUGUAAACUCCUUUCGCCAGGGACGAAGCGUUUUGUGACGGUACCUGGAGAAGAAGCACCGGCUAACUACGUG
rnacentral:rRNA from 1 species